UACAGAGGGUGCGAGCGUUGUCCGGAAUUACUGGGCGUAAAGGGCGCGUAGGCGGCCUGAUAAGUAGGGGGUGAAAUUCCGUGGCUCAACCACGGAACUGCCUUCUAAACUGCCAGGCUUGAGCACGGUAGAGGCAGAUGGAAUUCCCGGUGUAGCGGUGGAAUGCGUAGAGAUCGGGAAGAACACCAGUGGCGAAGGCGGUCUGCUGGGCCGUUGCUGACGCUGAUGCGCGACAGCGUGGGGAGCAAACAGGAUUAGAUACCCUGGUAGUCCACGCCGUAAACGAUGGGCACUAGGCGUCGGGGGGAGCGACCCUCCCGGUGCCGUAGCUAACGCUCUAAGUGCCCCGCCUGGGGAGUACGGCCGCAAGGCUGAA
rnacentral:rRNA from 1 species